UUUUUUCUUAGGCCGUGUUCAUUUGAACUCAGAGAGGCUUGAUUCUCACGAAUCAAGAGAGUUUUAUCCUCAAUCUAUCUACAUAAUCUUGUCAUCGUACUCAGGUACAUGACAAUUGGUAUCUAGAAUCGUUUCGAUUCCGCUAGUUUCUUCAGUGGAGGUUGCAGAUUUGGACAAGUCUUAUCCAAUGGAAUUCACUGAAAUUGAAUUAUUAUCGCAGAAGAUUUAUAGUUUGGGAAGAUUUCAAGUUGUAGUGUCAGAGAAGCUGGAGGGUGAAUUUAUUCGACCUCCUAAGCAGGUACUGCAUGGACGAUUUUUUUUUCAAGAGAAAUAGAGGAUAUCCUAGCGAUGGAACGUAGGCUAUGUGUUGAGAAUUCGGCUAAAAGUCUUGGAUUACUUCAAUCGGUGGUUAAACAAUUGAAUAUGAUGAAGACAUAUAUUUCCGCCAACACAGAAUCAACCCUUAUUGAUGCAGAUACAACAAGGAAUUUCACUCAGAACUCUUCAAUUCCAUCAGAAGAAGAUGAUGAUUGUCUCGAUUUCAAUUUGCUUAUUCCUUCGUUAGGGGUGAAUUUUCACCCUAUAGAAGUUAGGGGUACUGACAGUAGUUGUGAGAAACAUCAAAGCUUGAAGGAGCUGGUCAUUAAUCACCACAUGCUAUUGAGUAAGGAUUGUUCACCCAUUCUUUCUGAUUAUUCUCGUAGCAUAUUUGAUCAUGGUAAGUAUGCAGAUAUACCACCCAAUGGUUGUAGAAAAUUGAUUCUCCUAUUGAUUCUUAGCCCUGGGUUUAAAUCAGAUUUGGGGUUUACAGAUUCGAUAAUUCCUUUGUUAAUUAUGCUAAAGUUCAUGUGGAUGAGAAGUUGUUUGUUAAAAUGCCUGAGAGUAUAGCUUGUCAUUUGGGCAGUGACAAAGAUGAUUUUCUUGUGCUACAUAAAAGAAGUAAGAUGAGUAACAAGUUACUAAUAUAUGAAUGUCUCUUCAUGGAUAUGAAUUUUGCUCGACGGAUAUAUGAUCGUGGCAAAGUGUUCGAUUUCUUUAAAGGAUAUUUUUCUUUUGUUGUCACUUAUAAAUUUGGAACUAAUACUGUUACAUCUUGUAAGCUGGUUCUCGUUGGGUCAAUUCUAAUGGAGAAAUACAAAGAGGAACUCCUUUAUGAGCUUGUUUUGAAACAUGAUUCCCAAAUAGAAUUGUUGGUGGAUACCUGGAUUAUAUUCGUGUUCAUGAUUGUUUCGAAUGGUAUGAGUACUAAGAUGAUUGUUGCAUUGUCAGAGAGAAAUAUAUUUUUGUCUCUCUUGUUGGCCAUAGUGGUAAGCAAUAAGAAGUUCACUUUCUGUGCUUAAAGAGUGAGGCAACUCACAUAAUAGCAACUGAGUUAUAUUUCCAACUGCUUAGAGUCUUGGAUUCCGCCAGUGAUCAUGAAUACUCUUGUUGUAUUCCACCCUGGAGUUUGAAUAUAAGGGAAGAAGAUAUGUCUACUUCUGCAAAGUUUUUUCGGGUGGACUUAUUCAAGGUUAUGAUUGAUAGACAAGAAGGUGAUGUGCACCAGAUUCUUUUGUGUGAGUCUCAAAAAAUUUCAGUGCUUAUAUUCUCAGCUCACACAAUUGCUAGAACUCGUUUAUAUCUUUUAAGAAUCGAUACUUAUCCACUUUCUUCUAAGGUGUAUGGAGGAUAUAUGAUUCAAGAGAAAGUUCUGUUGCAAGUGUUUCAAUCCAACUGUAGUUGAUACAUUUACCCUGUAUCUUCUUUUACGUUGCAACCAACUGGCAGAGACGACUUAUAGCUCGACUCAUUUCCUUGCAAGGAUAGUGAAAACUCAGUUUAUGCUCCUGGCAAUUCAAAUGCUACAUGGGAGGCUGGUGGAGUUCUUGAGGUGAAAGUUCAAAUUGGUUCCACCUGAAUUGGGGAGUAUGGUAAAUUGUACCAGUACUAUCGGUUGUAGAUUUGUUGUUUGAUGGAGGAAACUACUUUGCAACUGAAGCCUCUAAGCAACUGAAGAUCACGUUUACUGAUGAGAUUGAAACUACUUUACAGGUAAUAUUACUCACUAGUCACAAACUGUUAAAUGACGAAUGUUCUACCAUUAUCAUCCACUCUUCUCGUAAUAUAUUCGAUCGAAGCAAGGAAUUAUAUAUUGUGAAGGGGUUUUCUUAUCUUGCUGGUGAUUGUGACUUCUACCUUGAUACAAAUACUUCUUGUGUGAAUGUUAUUUAUGAAUCGAUUUUUCUAGAUUAUUACAAUGGGAUAACGGAAUCUCAACUCAAGCUCAUGGUGGUUCACAAUCCAACUGAGCUAGUGUUGCUGGUUUCUUUGUGGAGGAUAUUUGCACAUAUGGUAUUCCGACCAUAUGAGAGGAGAUGUAUAUUCGUAUGUUAUUUGAUCGAAGUAAGAGGUAUGUGCCUGGAUUAUUGGAGAGCUACUUAGUAAGUUUUGGGUGAACCAGUUCAAUUGUAUUACAGAACGGUAAGAAGGUAACCGAUGGGUGGGUUUAUAAGCAAGGGUAUCGUUCCAAUUCAUUGUCUCAAGCCUCGAUUGGUCUUAUGCUGGCUAAUGGUCCAAUGUGGGAUUUUAUUUAUCCACCAAAGAAGGUUUUGAGCUCGCCAAAACUCCUUGCAGGAAUGAAAUGGAUUUGGUUCAUGCUCACCGUGCUUCAUGUUUCAAAAGUGUGGAUGAUUGUAACCUUCCGGUGGUGGAAAUUUGAAUGGUUUUCUACAGGUUCACUGAGUGCAGGAAAUAUUAGUGGGGUUAACAUGGGAUUAACAUCAGUUGGGUGCUCUGACAUGUACUGGUGUUCUAGAACCCAUCUACCAGUUCUGAGCUGCAGUCCAGCAGAAACUACAAAAAAUUAUCUGGAAAUAUUGCAAGCUGACAUUGAGGCGAACUCCAAGGUGAUCAGUGUUGGUUAUAUUUGGCUCGUUUAUGCGAUAUCCGCUAGAGAAGUUCACUUCUUCCUGGGAAGAUUUGACUACACACAAGCUGAAGAUACUAGAACAUUUCAAUCAUUUAUCUUUCUAAUCAGUUCACAGGGAAUUGGUAGGUGGACUGUUAAGCCUAGUGCGAAAGUGUUCAACGACAUCACAUGAGUUUUUAUUCUGAUCCGCGACUCUCCAGCACUCGAGCUUAUUCAUUUUAACUCACAUCCUUGAGGACAAGGAUGUUUUCAAGGGGUAGGUAAUGUCACGUGCGUUCUAUAUGUGAGAGGGUGCCCAUAUCAUGUUACUUGUGAGCCUUUAGUAGUAGUUAUGAUUGGAAGUAUUUAGUGUAGGAGUGAGUGUGUUUAUCAGUGUAAGGCACGGUUAGAUGAGAACCACCUGGUGGCUAUCUGGCCGUGGAUCCUAGGGUAGUAAAUGAGAGUUAUAUAUUGUCCUGUGUUUGUAACGGAAAGACUAUAAAAUUAUUAAUCAAUUGGAACUUUGUUCU